GGAGCCCAUGGCUCGGUUGGAAGAGCGCCUCAAUGGCAUUGAGGAGGUCGUCGGUUCGGGUCCGACUGGGUCCACCA
rnacentral:tRNA from 1 species